rnacentral:lncRNA from 1 species
CAGAGCCUUUGCCACCAUGGGGGAGACCGUAAUGAGCGUCAAAAUUAUCCGAAACCGCCUCACUGGGAUCCCAGCUGGCUACUGCUUUGUAGAAUUUGCAGAUUUGGCCACAGCUGAGAAGUGUUUGCAUAAAAUUAAUGGGAAACCCCUUCCAGGAGCCACACCUGUAAGGACAUUUAGAUAAUGAUGAUGUUGCCAUUAUUAUUGUCAUUGCUUACUACCAUCUAUUGAAUCCCUACUGUAUACUUAUUUUAUUUAAUCCUAAAACAACCCUUUACAGUAGGCAUUGUUAUCUUUGUAGGCCCAGGAAACUGAAGCUCAGGGAAUUGAAAUAACUUGUCCAAGGCAACACAGGUAGUAAAUGGCAGAGCCAGGAUUCAGACUGAAGAUUGGUUGCCUCCCAAAUCCAUGCCUUUCCAUUCUGCAUUGCUGCCUCCCAUAACCGAAGACUUGAAACUCUAGACCUCUUGCCUGAUUGGGAAACUAGAAUAGGCUGGCAGCAGCAAGGACACAUUUCAAGAGAGUUGCAUUCUGCUCUUCCCACAGUUACUUAGCUUACAGCUGCACCAGCUGGCACACCUGGGCUCAUAGAACCAUGGAGCUGGCAGUGCCCUUAGCGGUCAUCCGUGCAACCCCCUCAUUUUAUACAGGAGAAAAAGCUGAGGCUUAGAGAGGGGGAGAUGUUUUGGCCAAGGUAAUUUAUUUCAGUUUUCUUCAAAUAUUGUUCAACUCUUGAAACACCUUUCUCUGUUUUAGUUUGUUUGUUUUUCAACUUCCAGGCGAAACGUUUUAAACUGAACUAUGCCACUUACGGGAAACAACCAGAUAACAGCCCUGAGUAUUCCCUCUUUGUGGGGGACCUGACCCCGGACGUGGAUGAUGGCAUGCUGUAUGAAUUCUUCGUCAAAGUCUACCCCUCCUGUCGGGGAGGCAAGGUGGUUUUGGACCAGACAGGCGUGUCUAAGUAAGGCCUUACUUGUUACUGAUGCUUAACUGUGUUAGUUUCAGCCUUUCUCUCCUGAGUGGAGGUGUUUUAGAAAGGCCCUGCAGCAUGGCGAUUAAGACCACAAGCUCUGGAGCCAAACUGCCUGGUUCAAAUCCCAGCUCCAAUACAGGUGAGGGAGAAUGCCAGUAUUGUAGAAUUGAAGCUCUGUGACCCUUACAGCCCCAUCUGUAAAAUGGAGCUGAUUAAUAAUAGCUGCUUGUAGGGUUGAUGUAAGGAUUAAAGGAUAUAAUAUAAGUAAGUCACAUUUGAAAUGCUUUAUAGGUGUUUGCUGUUUUGCUUGUUAUUGUUACUGAGCCUUUCAGUGUAGUUAGAAGUGUUCCACUUCAGGCUGGGCGUGGUGGCUCAUGCCUGUAAUCCUAACACUUUGAGAGGCCCAGGUGGGUGGAUUGCGUGAGCUUAGGAGUUGGAGACCAGCCCGGGCAACACGGUGAAAUGCCGUCUCUAUUAAAAUACAAAAAAUUAGCCGGAUGUGGUGGUGUGCACCUGUAGUCCCAGCUACUUGGGAGGCUGAGGUAGGAUAAUUGCUUUAACCUGGAAGGCGGAGGUUGCAAUGAGCCAAGAUUGUGCCACUGCACUCCAGCCUGGGCAACAGAGCCAGACUCUGUCUCCAUAAAAAAAAAAAAAAA